rnacentral:misc_RNA from 1 species
CAAUAUUAUGGAAAGAAAUUUGAGCCUUUUCGUGAGUUGCCUGAAUGGGAAUUUAAAAGUUACUUGGGAUGGCAUGAGCAGGGAAAUAGUGGUUUAUUUUGUGGGCUCCACAUUGAUAAUGGUCGUAUUGGAGGGAAAAUGAAGAAAACAUUGAGAGAGGUAAUAGAGAAGUACAAUUUAGAUGUGCAACUGACACCAAACCAGA